ACUCAGUGCUGGAAGCUAUUGGGACUUCAAAGGGAGGAACUGUAUGCAAGACAGCUGCAGCACCAAGCCUUUAAUAAUGAAAGGAUAUGCUAAGAAAAAUAACAUGGUGGAUACUGGCCAUAACUUUGCUCCAGAACAGAGCUUCUCAAGCUUCGAGGCUGAAGAACUGGGCCAAUUUGAGGUGACAAGGGAGGAUGUUCUUAACUGUACUUCACAUAUAGACUGAUGGGGUCUGAGCUGUUGCUGACUGAUGAGAAGAUCUUGGGGUCGUAGUGGACAGCUUGUUGGAAGUGUCCGCUCAGUGUGCGGCAGCUGUGAAAAAGGCAAAUCCUAUGCUAGGGAUCAUGAGGAAGGGGAUUGAAAAUAAAAAUGCUAAUUUUGGAGUA